GACGAACGCUGGCGGCGUGCUUAACACAUGCAAGUCGAACGGUAAGGCCCUUCGGGGUACACGAGUGGCGAACGGGUGAGUAACACGUGGGUGAUCUGCCCUGCACUUCGGGAUAAGCCUGGGAAACUGGGUCUAAUACCGGAUAGGACAACUGCCUGCAUGGGUGGUGGUGGAAAGCUUUUGCGGUGUGGGAUGGGCCCGCGGCCUAUCAGCUUGUUGGUGGGGUGAUGGCCUACCAAGGCGACGACGGGUAGCCGGCCUGAGAGGGUGACCGGCCACACUGGGACUGAGAUACGGCCCAGACGCCUACGGGAGGCAGCAGUGGGGAAUAUUGCACAAUGGGCGCAAGCCUGAUGCAGCGACGCCGCGUGAGGGAUGACGGCCUUCGGGUUGUAAACCUCUUUCAGCACCGACGAAGCGCAAGUGACGGUAGGUGCAGAAGAAGGACCGGCCAACUACGUGCCAGCCGCCGCGGUAAUAC
rnacentral:rRNA from 1 species